GACGGAGGAUGCAAGCGUUAUCCGGAAUGAUUGGGCGUAAAGCGUCCGCAGGUGGCAGUUCAAGUCUGCUGUCAAAGACCGGGGCUUAACUUCGGAAAGGCAGUGGAAACUGAACAGCUAGAGUAUGGUAGGGGGCAGAGGGAAUUCCUGGUGUAGCGGUGAAAUGCGUAGAGAUCAGGAAGAACAUCGGUGGCGAAGGCGGGUCUCUGGGCAGUAACUGACGCUGAGGAGCGAAAAGCGUGGGGAGCGAAACAGG
rnacentral:rRNA from 1 species